rnacentral:lncRNA from 1 species
GGGAUAUCAAUAAAUAAGCUUUCCUUCAUUUCAACGUAUUGUGUUAAAUAAUACAUCAAAGCCUUCUUCGCUAAGUUCUUUGAAUUUUCUUUUGUUGAAGCUUGUAUGUUGAAGCUUUCUGAGUGGAGCAUGUAGGUUGGGGUAGUGUUCCCUUAAUUUCCCGAGUGAGGAAAACUUCUUGGUUGGAGACUUGGAAAAUCCAAGUCACUGAGUGGGAUCGGCUAUAUGAAUCUUAGAACG